rnacentral:rRNA from 1 species
GACGAACGCUGGCGGCGUGCUUAACACAUGCAAGUCGAACGGAAAGACCCUGCGUUUGUUGGUUUCUCGUUUGGCGAACGCGUGAGUAUCACGUGAGUAACCUGCCCUUAACUUUGUGAUAACUUCUCGAAAAUGCGGCGAUUACCGGGUAUGAUCUUCUGCUGCACAUGGGUGAUUGGAGAGUUUCGGCGGUUCGGGAUGGUCUCGCUGCUUAUCAGCUUGUUGGUGUGGUAGGUGCUUACCAAGGCUAUGACGGGUAGCCUGCCUGAGAGGGUGACCGGCCACAUUGGGACUGAGAGACGGCCCAGAAUCGUAUGGGAGGCAGCAGUGGGGAAUAUUGCACAAUGGGCGGAAGCCUGAUGCAGAAACGCCGCGUGCGGGAUGACGGCCUUCGGGUUGUAAACCGAUUUGGACUGUGACGAAGCGUGAGUGACGGUAAUGGGUAAAGAAGCCACGGCUAACUACGUG